ensembl:misc_RNA Y_RNA Y RNA
GGCUGGUCUGAAGGUAGUGAGUUAUCUCAAUUGAUUGUUCACAGUCAGUUACAGAUGAAACUCCUUGUUCUACUCUCUGCCUUUCUCACUAUUGCACUUGACUAGUCUAAA